rnacentral:tRNA from 3 species
GCCGAUGUAGCUCAGUUGGUAGAGCAAUGCUUUCGUAAAGCAGAGGUCGUGGGUUCGACUCCCGCCAUCGGCUCCA